rnacentral:sRNA from 1 species
GCCAGGAGUGGUGGUGCAUGCCUGUAAUCCCAGAAGCUUGAGAGGCUGAGACAGGAGGAUCGUGAGUUCAAAGUUACCCUCAGCAAUGGCGAGGUGUUAAGCAAUUCAGUGAGACCCUGUCUCUA